rnacentral:rRNA from 1 species
UAGCGAGGGGGGCGAGCGUUGUUCGGAAUUAUUGGGCGUAAAGGGUGCGUAGGCGGUUUGGUAAGUCUUGUGUGAAAUCUCCAGGCUCAACUUGGAGUCUGCACGAGAAACUGCCGGGCUUGAGUGUGGGAGAGGUGAGUGGAAUUCCUGGUGUAGCGGUGAAAUGCGUAGAUAUCAGGAGGAACACCUGUGGCGAAAGCGGCUCACUGGACCACAACUGACGCUGAGGUGCGAAAGCGUGGGGAGCAAACAGG